CCCGUUUCUUAAUUAGCUUUCUUAGCUUGUUGCAAUUGAAGCUCACCAUCCAUGGUGGUCCGUCCAACUUUCAUCAAAGAGACAAUAUGGAAGCACAGGCGGAUCCACAGGGGGGUCAUAGGGGUCUAACGACCCCUUAACAGUCAUGGAAAUUGGCUUCGAGGCUUAGUUUGCUGGAGGUGUGACCCUUGAACUGCCCACCAUCUGUUUGAUGAAAAGCCUGAGGAGGAGGAGGAUGGGAGCUUCCCAGUGCAGAAGAAGAGAAGCUGCGCAUGGGCAGGGAGGAUUUGGAAGGUGCUCAUUAAGGAGGUAUCAAGCAUGGAAUGGAAAGGAAUUCCAUGAGCUGCAAUAACAAUCUGAUAGCCUGACUUCAAACCUGGACGGUCCAUUUAAUCUUAAAGCAUUUCCAAGCACGAGAGAGACAUUAUUCUUCAUGCCACGCAUGGGUGGCCUUCCUCACAUUGGAAGCAGGUUAGGACGAUGCCUAGAGGAAGUUGGGGGAGAUGCCGAGCACCGAGACACUGAGACGGACUUUGCUAGGCCAGAAAAAUUACAGUGGCGAUUUAAGUUGCAUGUUUUUCCGUACAAUUAUUCCUUAGCAUCUUCAAUGAAUGAA